rnacentral:lncRNA from 1 species
CUUUAGAGGAAGAAUUGGGCACAGGGAGGUGUGGGACAAGGUGACCUUCUCAUGGGUCAACACUGAGAAGGUUGACUGAUGUAAUUAAUUCUCUGUUCUGCGUUUAGACGAACAAAAGCUUGCAAGUGUGCAUGUUGUAGCCCUGCUUUGUGAAUUGCACACAUUUCUUGGGUUCUUGUUCAUCCAAGGCUUCACAUGAGCUUGAGCACCGGGAGGUGCUGUGGUUGCAUAAGGAAAGAUGUUAGGAUGUCAGUGCUGAUAUAAAGAAAGCCAAAAAUUGUGUUGAUGCAUGUAUGAAAAGUUUUUAGAUGUAACAGUUGAGGCAGAACUGGAACUCUUGAAGGAGUUGGAAGCUGCAAAUAUUUUGGUUAAUCUAGUUUUCUGUAGUAGAAGUGCCUGCAGCCCUUGAACAUUCAUAUGGAUCCUUGUAGGAAUUAUUGGGCUCUUCUAAACUGUGUUGCUAUGUUGAAAUUAACUCUGAGCACAGAAGCAGGUGCUGAGGGAAAGCAGGCAUCAUGGCACUGCUAGCGUUUUCAGACACAGAUGACGAAUAAGAUAUACAAAGUUAACCUAUUCAAUAUGAAUUUUCUGAAGGGAUAAGUAUAGGUAGCACUUUAUUGCAAUG